AUUGAACGCUGGCGGCAUGCCUUACACAUGCAAGUCGAACGGCAGCGGACCUUCGGGUGCCGGCGAGUGGCGAACGGGUGAGUAAUAUAUCGGAACGGUACCUUUCAGUGGGGGAUAACGUAGCGAAGUUACGCUAAUACCGCAUAUUCUGUGAGCAGGAAAGCAGGGGAUCGCAAGACCUUGCGCUUGAUUGAGCGGCCGAUAUCCAGAUUAGCUAGUUGGUGAGGUAAAGGCUCACCAAGGCGACGAUCUGUAGCGGGUCUUGAGAGGGAUGAUCCGCCACACUGGAACUGAGACACGGUCCAGACUCCUACGGGAGGCAGCGAGUGGGGAAUUUUGGACAAGUGGGCGCAAGCCUGGAUCCAGCCAUGCCGCGUGAGUGAAGAA
rnacentral:rRNA from 1 species